rnacentral:lncRNA from 1 species
CAGGUUGUGCGUCUUUCCCCACGUGAGUCCACAUUCUUUUCUACCCUAGGAUUACUACUGGCACAGAGGAAGUUGAACCACUGUCCCCCUUUGGUUGGAUGUUUGCAAUACUUCUGCUUUUAUACUGCAACAAACAAUACUUGUGCUUUCCCUCCAUCUAGCACUGUGCCUCCAGGAGAGAGGGUUUUUUUCUGGUCGCCCCUGCAGACAUGACCCUGCUUGUCCCUGGCCAAUCCCAGGGCCAGACUGGAUUGUUGGCCCUCUGACUCACCCUAGAAGGCCUGGGGCUGGAGAGGCCUGGAACUCCUCGGAGAAGCCAAAGAUUUUGCAGAAUCAAGGAUGGAUGGAGUAUCAAAAUAAGGAACGGAAAAAACUGAAGAUAUACUAAGGAUUAAGGCCCAGGUUCAUCUAGUGUCCCCAGGUGCCAGGCAUUGUGCUGUGACUGUGAUGUGAAAAAAGAGGCCAGGACAACUGAGUUGAGUGCUCCAAACAGAAUCAAACUCCAAUGAAUAACAAGUAAUUUUGGAAUGUUUUACAUCAUGAUGGAACUGCUGUUUAGAUGCAGGAAAACAAGCUCCAGGCUCCCACUGAUUCUACAUGAUGGUGAGUUG